UGAUGAUGAUAAUGAUGAUGAUGAUGAUAAUGAUGAUAGUUAAUACAGAAGUGCCAACGCCACGCGUCGAUAUCAUCCCCCUAUCAUCAUAGUCUACGUUAUCAUUAUCAUCACCU
rnacentral:miRNA from 1 species